GACGAACGCUGGCGGCGUGCCUAAUACAUGCAAGUAGAACGCUGAAGAGAGGAGCUUGCUCUUCUUGGAUGAGUUGCGAACGGGUGAGUAACGCGUAGGUAACCUGCCUGGUAGCGGGGGAUAACUAUUGGAAACGAUAGCUAAUACCGCAUAAAAUUGAUUAUUGCAUGAUAAUUAAUUGAAAGAUGCAACUGCAUCACUACCAGAUGGACCUGCGUUGUAUUAGCUAGUUGGUGAGGUAACGGCUCACCAAGGCGACGAUACAUAGCCGACCUGAGAGGGUGAUCGGCCACACUGGGACUGAGACACGGCCCAGACUCCUACGGGAGGCAGCAGUAGGGAAUCUUCGGCAAUGGGGGGAACCCUGACCGAGCAACGCCGCGUGAGUGAAGAAGGUUUUCGGAUCGUAAAGCUCUGUUGUAAGAGAAGAACGGGGGUGAGAGUGGAAAGUUCACACUGUGACGGUAUCUUACCAGAAAGGGACGGCUAACUACGUG
rnacentral:rRNA from 1 species